GUGGGGAAUAUUGCACAAUGGGGGAAACCCUGAUGCAGCGACGCCGCGUGGAGGAAGAAGGUCUUCGGAUUGUAAACUCCUGUUGUUGAGGAAGAUAAUGACGGUACUCAACAAGGAAGUGACGGCUAACUACGUGCCAGCAGCCGCGGUAAAACGUAGGUCACAAGCGUUGUCCGGAAUUACUGGGUGUAAAGGGAGCGCAGGCGGGAGAACAAGUUGGAAGUGAAAUCCAUGGGCUCAACCCAUGAACUGCUUUCAAAACUGUUUUUCUUGAGUAGUGCAGAGGUAGGCGGAAUUCCCGGUGUAGCGGUGGAAUGCGUAGAUAUCGGGAGGAACACCAGUGGCGAAGGCGGCCUACUGGGCACCAACUGACGCUGAGGCUCGAAAGUGUGGGUAGCAAACAGGAUUAGAAACCCGGGUAGUCC
rnacentral:rRNA from 1 species